UGCCACAGUUUUGGCAUGCCUGCUUUGU
rnacentral:piRNA from 1 species